CCCUUAGAUGUCCUGGGCCGCACGCGCGCUACACUGAUGCAUGCAACGAGUUUAUAACCUUGGCCUGAAAGGUCUGGGUAAUCUUUUGAACGUGCAUCGUGAUAGGGAUAGAUUAUUGCAAUUGUUAAUCUUGAACGAGGAAUUCCUAGUAAACGCGAGUCAUCAGCUCGCAUUGAUUACGUCCCUGCCCUUUGUACACACCGCCCGUCGCACCUACCGAUUGAAUGGUUCGGUGAAGAUCUCGGACUUCGAUAUUUAUCCUUUAUUGAGUUUAUAUUGUGGGAAGUUAUCUAAACCUCAUCAUUUAGAGGAAGGUGAAGUCGUAACA
rnacentral:rRNA from 1 species